rnacentral:rRNA from 2 species
CGAACUCUGGUAUUGAUUGGUGCUUGCAUCAUGAUUUACAUUUGAGUGAGUGGCGAACUGGUGAGUAACACGUGGGAAACCUGCCCAGAAGCGGGGGAUAACACCUGGAAACAGAUGCUAAUACCGCAUAACAACUUGGACCGCAUGGUCCGAGUUUGAAAGAUGGCUUCGGCUAUCACUUUUGGAUGGUCCCGCGGCGUAUUAGCUAGAUGGUGAGGUAACGGCUCACCAUGGCAAUGAUACGUAGCCGACCUGAGAGGGUAAUCGGCCACAUUGGGACUGAGACACGGCCCAAACUCCUACGGGAGGCAGCAGUAGGGAAUCUUCCACAAUGGACGAAAGUCUGAUGGAGCAACGCCGCGUGAGUGAAGAAGGGUUUCGGCUCGUAAAACUCUGUUGUUAAAGAAGAACAUAUCUGAGAGUAACUGUUCAGGUAUUGACGGUAUUUAACCAGAAAGCCACGGCUAACUACGUGCCAGCAGCCGCGGUAAUACGUAGGUGGCAAGCGUUGUCCGGAUUUAUUGGGCGUAAAGCGAGCGCAGGCGGUUUUUUAAGUCUGAUGUGAAAGCCUUCGGCUCAACCGAAGAAGUGCAUCGGAAACUGGGAAACUUGAGUGCAGAAGAGGACAGUGGAACUCCAUGUGUAGCGGUGAAAUGCGUAGAUAUAUGGAAGAACACCAGUGGCGAAGGCGGCUGUCUGGUCUGUAACUGACGCUGAGGCUCGAAAGUAUGGGUAGCAAACAGGAUUAGAUACCCUGGUAGUCCAUACCGUAAACGAUGAAUGCUAAGUGUUGGAGGGUUUCCGCCCUUCAGUGCUGCAGCUAACGCAUUAAGCAUUCCGCCUGGGGAGUACGGCCGCAAGGCUGAAACUCAAAGGAAUUGACGGGGGCCCGCACAAGCGGUGGAGCAUGUGGUUUAAUUCGAAGCUACGCGAAGAACCUUACCAGGUCUUGACAUACUAUGCAAAUCUAAGAGAUUAGACGUUCCCUUCGGGGACAUGGAUACAGGUGGUGCAUGGUUGUCGUCAGCUCGUGUCGUGAGAUGUUGGGUUAAGUCCCGCAACGAGCGCAACCCUUAUUAUCAGUUGCCAGCAUUAAGUUGGGCACUCUGGUGAGACUGCCGGUGACAAACCGGAGGAAGGUGGGGAUGACGUCAAAUCAUCAUGCCCCUUAUGACCUGGGCUACACACGUGCUACAAUGGAUGGUACAACGAGUUGCGAACUCGCGAGAGUAAGCUAAUCUCUUAAAGCCAUUCUCAGUUCGGAUUGUAGGCUGCAACUCGCCUACAUGAAGUCGGAAUCGCUAGUAAUCGCGGAUCAGCAUGCCGCGGUGAAUACGUUCCCGGGCCUUGUACACACCGCCCGUCACACCAUGAGAGUUUGUAAC